UCAGAUUUGCUUUCUAUCCCAGUGUCGACGGCAUUUCCAUCAAAUCGUCUCGGAAGGGAUGGAAGUAAAUUUAACGAGGCUGGUAACAAAGAUCUCGUUUAUUCGACAACCAGUAGCGCUCGACGAAAUCUACAAAAUCGUAUGUUCGUAUACAACUGGCACCAAGUUGCCUCGUUAAAUCCUCGGCAGCUGCUCCUUCGUGAUACGCAACGGUUGGCCUGAAAUAUUUACCGAAUACGCAACAGCAAACUGCACCCGGGAUAAAUUUAUUACGGCUAAUAUUCCCUCGAUGCACUCUUACCUCCCUUCCAAGUAAUAAAACAUCGUCAGAUAGAAAAAAUAUGCUGAAUUAUUGUCUUAAUGCACGCAUAAUAUCACCGUUCGUGCGAGUUUCGCCGUUCGUGAAGUAAAGGAUGCUCGAGGAUUUAUGAGGCACGGGGGCGAUCAAAUAUAAAAUUGUUUCAAAAGAUAAAAUAUACAUUUUGCACGGCACACGCUAUCGAUUAAAAUGCCAGUCGCGUAGAUACACAACAAACAGUAUUUGGUCUUUUCAAUCUUAUAAAUUCAUCGCUUCAUAAUAUCAUAAUCUUUAUGAAAAGACAAUUGAUCGAGCAUCAACGAAGACGAGAUGCGCAUGAGAUGUAGUAAUCUAUAAAAAGCUUGUAACAAAGUGAACAACAGUCUUACAGCAACAAUUCCACGAACAUUACCAUCACCACGCGUGAAUGAGAAAAGAA
rnacentral:misc_RNA from 1 species